rnacentral:lncRNA from 1 species
UUCGUCUUUCACAUUUUGCCAAAAUAGUGUUUCAUAAAAUCUCUCCAUUCAACUUGCCUCACCAGCCUGAAAAUUAUACUCACUCACUCAUCCAUCCAUCAGUCCUCCAUCCACCCCACAUCUGUCCAUUUGUCUACCCAUCCAUUGACCAACUGUCCAUCUGUCUUUCCACAGAAGGUUUGUUCCAGGGGCUGGGGCAUCAGAGAUGGCAGAAGCUGGGUUCCACUGACCCCUUGCCUUUCCCUCUUCCUCCUCCUUCCCCUGGACCCCUUCUGGAGCUAGGCUGUGGCAGCAAGAGUCCACGGGGAGAGCGGAGGGAGCCAGACUCACUGGGAGGCAGCUUAGCUGUGCUGGGCCUCCUGGGGCCAGCACCCUUAUUCUGCCUGUCCUCACUGCGAGCCCGAGAUGGAGGGCUCUCGCUCCCCACUCUUCCGGCGUGGGCAAGGGGCACCGUGGGGACUGGACCUUCCUCAGCCUGCCACUGCCUCUCACCCCUUCCCCCACACAGCAGCAGAAGGAAAGUCCGUGAGACCGCGGACAGACGCCCACACUCAGGGCAGUUAUGGCCACGGACUCCAGAGUCAGACAGGCUGGGUUCAAAGCAAGUGCUUUCGUCUCUCCGACCCUGUUUUCUCACCUGUAAGAGAGUGACAGGAAGGCUGUACCUCGGAGAGCUGCGGGAGUGAGGUGCCCAGGGCAGCCGCACAUCGAGUGCUCAUUAAGCACGCUCUUCACUCGCCUACUCAUCCGUCCAGGGGCCCAUGCGCGAUGCCCUGUAGACUCCCAGCAGCGACGGGCUCCCUCGUCCAUACACCCUCCCAGCCUCUGCUCCUGGGCCGAGGCUCACCCUUGCCACCCGCCCUGCCAGGUCUGCCUUGGCCCAUGGAGCUGGUAGAGGCGUUGAUCGCCAUCAUGAAGCAACACGAGAGGAUCCUUGACAUACAGCUGUGUGCCUGCUCCCUGCUGCUGCGCAGCCUGGGUCAAGGUGGGUGCGGAGCUUACUCUGGCACCUUGUCC